rnacentral:misc_RNA from 1 species
UUUAAAGUUGAAGUGAUUCGACUGACUAAGGAUGAUAUGGAGUUUGACAUGAUCGGUAUUGAUGCAUCAAUUGCUAAUGCAUUUCGAAGGAUUCUCAUUUCUGAGCUUCCCACCAUGGCUAUUGAAAAAGUCCUUAUUGCAAACAAUACAUCACUUAUCCAAGACGAAGUCCUUUCUCACAGGUUGGGCCUUAUUCCAAUUAAUGCUGACCCUAGGCUGUUUGAGUAUCUUUCAGCAAAUGAUACCCCAAAUGAAAAGAACACUAUUGUCUUCAAACUUCAUGUUCAUUGCAAACCAGGCGAGCCUCGUUGUACAGUAUAUUCUGAAGAAUUGAAGUGGUUACCAAAUGGGAGUGAGUUCAUAAAGGAAUCAGAAAAGGUUGAUACAAAGCCGAGCACCUAUACUUCAUUUAGUUGCAGCCAAAAUUCCCUACAGAACUUCUCGAGCAAUCCAAUCGGCCCAACAGAAGACAAGAUUAUAAUUGCUAAACUUGGCCCUGGACAGGAAAUUGAACUUGAAGCUCAUGCUGU